CCUAAAGUGGCUAGUGAAGAGGCUAGAGAAGAGGCUAGAGAAGAGGCUAGAGGGGUGACCAGAGAGGAGUUGGAAAUUAUGUUCAAGGGCUUAGCUGACUGCAUGAAAAAAAGGUUUAAUAAGUGCAUGAGAGAGUUUAGGAAGUUGUCCGAUAGAUUGGAAACUGUGGAGAAGAAGGUUGGUGUCACCAAUCAGGCUACCCCUCCAC
rnacentral:lncRNA from 1 species